UACGGAGGGUGCGAGCGUUGUCCGGAAUCACUGGGCGUAAAGGGCGCGUAGGUGGCCCGUUAAGUGGCUGGUGAAAUCCCGGGGCUCAACUCCGGGGCUGCCGGUCAGACUGGCGAGCUAGAGCACGGUAGGGGCAGAUGGAAUUCCCGGUGUAGCGGUGGAAUGCGUAGAGAUCGGGAAGAAUACCAGUGGCGAAGGCGUUCUGCUGGGCCGUUGCUGACACUGAGGCGCGACAGCGUGGGGAG
rnacentral:rRNA from 1 species